AGUAAUUAAACUUUAAAAUUAUUAAAAUAAUUUUAUUCUUAACGGGUCGAAACGGGUUACCCACGUGUUACCCGCGUGUAUACCUGUUAAGAACCUGUUAUUAACGGGUUCUUAACGGGUCACCCGAUAGUGACCCGAUAAGUUAUCGUGUUGACCCGAAACUCGUUAUUUUCGUGUCAUUUUCGUGUCGUGUCACCGUAUCGUGUCAAAAACUGCCAGGUCUAAUUCAAAAUUUGAUGCAUAGGGACCUAUUUACUAAGUGUCAUAUCAAAAAAUAUAUAUAUAUAUAUCUCUCAGAGCUGUAGAUGCCUGCAGCCACCAUUUUAUUUAAUUUAAAUGUGAACAGCUCCUGCAGCUACAGAAGUUGUAUGUCAGCGUCUUCAUCACUUUCUUCUCCCUCAAGUUUUCCCUUCUUCUCCUCGAGUUGAGUUGCAAGUUAUGACCCAGACUGACAAUCAUUUUCCUUUCCUUUUAUGGGUUCGAUUUGGAUUAAGGGGUUUUUUAUAUGAAUUCAAUUGGACUAAAAAAUUGAGCUUAUUUUAAAAGUAAAAAAUUAUUAAAAAUUAAAUCUAUUUCAAAAAAUAGACUACAAAAUUAAACCUUUUUUAAAUUUUUCCUUGGAUUAAUUACGGAACCCAUCCGUCAUCCGGCAACAUUUUUUCACACACGCAUCAAAUAACAAGAAAUUAACUUGACUCUUUAAUACUGUGAAGUUUUGUGAUUAACCAUGAGACUGAUUUAAGAAACUUCAUAUUUAUAAUUGAAAAUGUUCAUAUAUAAAUACUUUGUAAAUACUAUUUUUAUAAAAAAAUUAAUAAAAAUAAAUUUUUGGACUCCCGAUUUGCAAAUGCAAAUCAAAGCUCCUCUCUUUAAUAUUCAACCGAAUGUAACCACUUCUGAAUUGUGCUAUUACCAAAAUAACCUUGAUACGUAUAUGGUCUUAUCCCCCUUUCUCUUCCCAAGUUCUCCAUUUUCCCCUCCCAGCUCCCAAGUUUCUCCUCCUUUCUCGUCACCUUCCUUAUUCUUCGUAGUGCAUAAACCCUUCUAAGCUUUCUACUGGUUUAUCUCACAUACGAGGCAAUAUCAUGAAGUAACACCAAAUGAAGGGCUGCUAUAUAUGGUGAAUAUAUAGUCGAUACAAUAAAUUUGAAGAUGUAUCCCAGCAGGCCAACGACCUAACCUUUGACUUAAGGAGAAUCCCGAACAAAAAUAAAAAUAAACCAAACCAAAAUUUGGAGACGUAAGUGAGAAUUAGCGAGUGAUUAAACUAAAAAAUUAGAAGAAAACAAGUCUUGAAAAAUGACAAAACCUAGAGAAGAGGGGUAAUUGUGAGUGAGAGUUGAGAAACGAGACACAUAAACUGGAGUCUCGACAGAGAUGGGAGUCAUGGAGAGUGAAAACUAUAGAUUAGAACUGGAGAGGUUACGACUCAUAAGAAAGGGAGGGACUUGUUUAUAUUAAUGGUGUUUUGGUAGUAGCACAUCCAAAUUGAGUGUAUUUGGUUGAAUUUCAAUUCGUGAGUAGUUUUGAUAUGCAUUUGUGAGCAUGUUUGCCAACAAACGAAUAAAAUAUGACAUCGUUUAGUCAUUGAACUGUAUUAAAAUAGAUGGAAGAUUUAGUAAAAAGAUGUAUAAUUGUUUAUCUAUUUGCUACAAUUAAUUGAUUAAAAAAUCUUAAUUUUAAUAUCAUUUUUUUUGUAAAAAUGAUAUUUAUAGAGAGAUUUGUAAUAUAAAUGGUUACGAUUAUAAACUCAAGGUGAAUCGAGGAGGAACUCCUCAAAACACUUUGGUGUCGACUCACAAAGCUUCAGUGGUUAUGAUAGGAACUGUUUAUAAUCGUAACCCACAAAGCUUCAAUGGUUAUGAUAGGAACUGUUUAUAAUCGUAACCCUAUUCAUGUUAUAUAUCACUCGGUAAAAAUUAUCUAGGUAAAAAAAUCAAAUAAAACCAAGGUCGUUUAAUCAAUCAACUGUAGCAAGUAGAUUAAGUGCUCAUAAUACUCUCACCAAUUUCAACUAUCUAUUUGUAUACAGUUCGAUAAAAACCUCAUAUUUUAUUAUAUUGGUAGAAAUUAUUUUUACAUAGUAAUUUAUAAUAUGAAAAUUUCUAAUUAGAAGCAUGAAGUCAAAUUUAUUUUUUAUUUUUAUAAAUUGUUGAUAGGUGAAUUCUCUAGUAUGAAACUUUUAACUGGGAAUUCUUUGGUCAUUGAUAGAUCAGAGCAUGAUAAAAUUUUCAAUUGAAAAUUUAAUUAAUCUAUGAAAAAUAAAAUAUUACUUGAAUUUUGUUCAUUGAGAUUAUAUUUGUUAUGCAUUUAAUGGAUGAAAUAUGCUAAAUGAACAUACGAAUUUUAACAAUAAAAAACCAAGGAUGACCUAUGAUUAUUUGAAUAAUCGUAUGAGUUGCAUUUUAUUUAGUUGAUUAAUAUGAUACCAUCAAUGAUUCUUUCUUUUGAGCUGUGCUAGCAUUUGAGGCGCACACAGAUCAAUGGCGAGCUUCUUCCCUGUGUUUUAAUACUUAACUAUGGUUGAUUAAUAUGAUAGGAACUAUCAUGUGUAGGAUUAUCAGAGAGACGUGUUAUAGACUCACUUCUAACAACAUCAAUAUUGUCUUCAACUUAGUAAUUACCACGUGCAUAAUCCGUCAGGUGUAGGGUUUUAUCACAAAAAACCUUGAUAUUAGUUGGAGUGGGGUUGAAACAUUUAAACUCUUAUUUUCUCAAAGAUACGGUCGGUGUGAGAUAUUUCAAUGCGCACCCUCACGUGGGACCCAAUUAGUGGGUCACAAGUGAGAGAUCCACACAUCGACAACCACGUAGAGCCAAUGGGUCUCACCUUAUACGCGGGGCCAAGGGACGCACCAUUAUGGUGCGAGGCCAAGGUGACCUAUCCAUCACGUGGCAGUAGAAGCUCGCUCCCUCCCUCUAAUACCAUAAUAAAAGUAUAGUUUUUAAGAUUUAAUUGCUCAUUCUUGUUAUUCUUCUCCCAUUGGGAGGAAAUAUAUGUACACCGCUAUUCUCCUUGUGAUUCAAGAAAUAUUAAAGAGAGUUGCAACCAAACUAGGAAACAUAAAUAAAUUCCUAAUCCACCUAAAACUCACUCCAACAUCAUGUUAUAAAUCACUCGGUAAAAAUCAUCUAGGUAAAAAAUCAAAUAAAACUAAGGUCAUUUAAUCCACCAACUGUUGCAAAUAGGUUAAGUGCUCAUAAGACUUUUACCGAUUUCAACCAUCUAUUUGUAUACAGUUCGAUAACAAAAAAACCAUAUUUUUUAUUCUAUUUGAUAGAAAUGAUUUUUAUAUCAUGAAAGAUUAUGAUCAUAAACAUGAAGUUAAUUUUAUUUUUAGAUUAUUGAUAACUGAAUUUUUUAGUAAGAAACUUUUAACCGUAAAUUCUUUGGUCAAUGGUACAUCAAAGCAUGAUAAAAUUUUCAAUUGAAAAUUUAAUUAAUCUAUGAAAAAUAAAAUAUUACUUGAAUUGUGUUCACUGAGAUUAUAUUUGUUAUGCAAUUAAUGGAUGACAUAUGCUAAAUGAACAUACGAAUUUAAAAAAAAAUCAAGGAUGACUCAUAUUAUUUGAAUAAUCGUAUGAGUUGCAUUUUAUUUUGUUGAUCAAUAUGAUACCAUCAAUGAUUCUUUCUCUUGAUCUGUGCUAGCAUCUGAGGCGCACACAGAUCAAUAGCGAGCUUCUUCCCUGUGUUUUAGUACUAAACUAUUGUUUGUAUUCUCAACGUUUAUAAUCAUUUCAUCAGCA
rnacentral:lncRNA from 1 species